CUCAGAUUGAACGCUGGCGGCAGGCCUAACACAUGCAAGUCGAGCGGUAGAGGGAAGCUUGCUUCCCUUGAGAGCGGCGGACGGGUGAGUAAUACCUGGGAAUCUGCCUGAUAGUGGGGGAUAACGUUCGGAAACGGACGCUAAUACCGCAUACGUCCUACGGGAGAAAGCAGGGGAUCUUCGGACCUUGCGCUAUCAGAUGAGCCCAGGUCGGAUUAGCUUGUUGGUGAGGUAACGGCUCACCAAGGCGACGAUCCGUAACUGGUCUGAGAGGAUGAUCAGUCACACUGGAACUGAGACACGGUCCAGACUCCUACGGGAGGCAGCAGUGGGGAAUAUUGGACAAUGGGCGCAAGCCUGAUCCAGCCAUGCCGCGUGUGUGAAGAAGGUCUUCGGAUUGUAAAGCACUUUAAGUUGGGAGGAAGGGUUGUAGUUUAAUACGCUGCAAUCUUGACGUUACCGACAGAAUAAGCACCGGCUAACUCUGUGCCAGCAGCCGCGGUAAUACAGAGGGUGCAAGCGUUAAUCGGAAUUACUGGGCGUAAAGCGCGCGUAGGUGGCUAAGUAAGAUGGGUGUGAAAUCCCCGGGCUCAACCUGGGAACUGCAUCCAUAACUGCUUGGCUAGAGUACGGUAGAGGGUAGUGGAAUUUCCUGUGUAGCGGUGAAAUGCGUAGAUAUAGGAAGGAACACCAGUGGCGAAGGCGACUACCUGGACUGAUACUGACACUGAGGUGCGAAAGCGUGGGGAGCAAACAGGAUUAGAUACCCUGGUAGUCCACGCCGUAAACGAUGUCAACUAGCCGUUGGGAACCUUGAGUUCUUAGUGGCGCAGCUAACGCACUAA
rnacentral:rRNA from 1 species